AUUCAACUGAAGAGUCUCAAAUAGGGCGAAACACGCGUCCUAGAU
rnacentral:hammerhead_ribozyme from 1 species